CCAAUAAAGAUGUGUGUUAAGUGAAGUGCUCACACAGAUUGUCUGAUGAAAAUAACGAGCAGAAAUACCUUAAUAGGCUUGUAGCUCAGGUGGUUAGAGCGCACCCCUGAUAAGGGUGAGGUCGGUGGUUCAAGUCCACUCAGGCCUACCAACUCUUCCAUGAGUGGUAUCUAAGGUAACUGUAAGUAGAGAUGGGGCUAUAGCUCAGCUGGGAGAGCGCCUGCCUUGCACGCAGGAGGUCUGCGGUUCGAUCCCGCAUAGCUCCACCAUCACUACUCGGUAUGAUAAAAAACAGUACUUCAGUUGUACCAGUUACCUGUUACUGCGAUAUGCUGCGAAGUAUUUUGCUCUUUAACAAUCUGGAACAAGCUGAAAAUUGAAACAUGACAGCUGAACAUGCAUGACUGCCUUCGGGCGGGUCGUGAUGAAUCAGCAUGUCAAUGAGUCUCUCAAAUAAUCGCAGCGCGAGGAUGAAUCGAAAGAAACAUCUUCGGGUUGUGA
rnacentral:misc_RNA from 1 species